GUUCCCUCUGAAGUUUCUCUCAGGAUAGCUGGAACAAAAACGCAGUUUUAUUAGGUAAAGCGAAUGAUUAGAGGAAUCGGAGUUCAAAGAAUUUUGACCUAUUCUCAAACUUUAAAUUGGUAAGAACCGGGGGUUGACUUAAGUGAACCUUUGGGCAGAAUGCUUGUUCCAUGUGGGCCAUUUUUGGUAAGCAGAACUGGCGAUGAGGGAUGAACCUAACGUUGGGUUAA
rnacentral:rRNA from 1 species